rnacentral:lncRNA from 1 species
AAACAUACUAGAAAAGUAGAAACAACACACUUAUUCGGUCUAGGAAGUUUUAUAUUUAAGAUAUUCAUGUGUUACAAGUAUUCAAGAGUAAAUAUAAUUAAAAGGGGCCAAUCCAAAAUAAACAAAUUUAGGACUUAGCAUUUAAAAUGUAUUUAGAAUAUUGGAUUUAGAAAUCUGUAUUUGAUUAAAACUUAGAAUUUAGCGUUUUCUUUGUAUAU